ensembl:rRNA 5S_rRNA 5S ribosomal RNA
UACAGCAGCCAUAUCACCCUGCAACUCACAACUGGCAACCCACUGAAGCUCAGCAGGUGUGAGCCUGGUCAGUACCUGGAUGGGAGACCUCCUGGGAAAAACUAAGGUUGCUGCUGGAA